rnacentral:misc_RNA from 1 species
ACUUGUCUUGUCAAGGAUUUUGGUACCAGAAAUUAUAUGAAGAUUCUCUUUUUUACAGUUUAAUUUGCGCGCAUUCUCUUGUCGUAACUUUUACGGCAUGUUUGGUAGACUUUAUGGAGUAUAAUGGAAAGAACUUUCAGCUCAUUGUCUCACUAUCCCAUUAUGUUCUACCAAACAUGUUCUUAGAUCUUCAGAUCCAUUCUCAUGCUUCAUACUUGUUACUUUGACUCUCUCUCUAACUCUACACACACAGACAUUUCUUAUGUAAGAUUCCUUUUCUGUUUCUAACAUAGAUUGGAAUAGAAGAAGGUGUUUCCCUGUCAGCUGCAACUGAUCAUAUUGCCAGACAUGUAUGACAAACCUUUUGAUGAUGCUCACACAAAAAGUGUAUAAUUUAUUGUAUCCCUCCCAUUUGUUCUAAUUGCAGAGUAAAUUGAGAAGUUUUUCCUUUAAUUUGUUUGGACUCAUGGUAUUGCAAACUGUUGGAGCAAUACCCGGGAUUGUUGUUAUUUGCCUUGACUGGUUAUCUUCUUG